rnacentral:misc_RNA from 1 species
GAUGAAGAACGUAGCGAAAUGCGAUAAGUAAUGUGAAUUGCAGAAUUCAGUGAAUCAUCGAAUCUUUGAACGCACAUUGCGCCCGCCAGUAUUCUGGCGGGCAUGCCUGUUCGAGCGUCAUUACAACCCUCAGGCCCCCGGGCCUGGCGUUGGGGAUCGGCGGAAGCCCCCUGUGGGCACACGCCGUCCCUCAAAUACAGUGGCGGUCCCGCCGCAGCUUCCAUUGCGUAGUAGCUAACACCUCGCAACUGGAGAGCGGCGCGGACAUGCCGUAAAACACCCAACUUCUGAAUGUUGACCUCGAAUCAGGUAGGAAUACCCGCUGAACUUAAGCAUAUCAAUAAGCGGAGGA